UACGUAGGCAGCGAGCGUUGUUCGGAGUUACUGGGCGUAAAGGGUGUGUAGGCGGUUGCUUAAGUUUGGUGUGAAAUCUCCCGCUCAACCGGGAGGGUGCGCCGAAUACUGAGAGGCUAGAGUGUGGGAGAGGAAAGUGGAAUUCCUGGUGUAGCGGUGAAAUGCGUAGAUAUCAGGAGGAACACCGGUGGUGUAAACGCUUCUGGACCAUAACUGACGCUGAGGCACGAAAGCGUGGGUAGCAAACAGG
rnacentral:rRNA from 1 species